rnacentral:rRNA from 1 species
AGAAUCAACGCUGGCGGCGUGCCUCAGACAUGCAAGUCGAACGCGAAAGUCCCCUUCGGGGGACAAGUAGAGUGGCGCACGGGUGAGUAACACGUAGGUAAUCUACCUUUGGAUGGGGAAUAACAACCGGAAACGGUUGCUAAUACCGCAUAAUGCAGCGGCACCUAAUGGUGACAGUUGUUAAAGCGGGGGAUCGAAAGACCUCGCGUCUGAAGAGGAGCCUGCGGCGGAUUAGCUAGUUGGUAAGGUAAUGGCUUACCAAGGCUACG